rnacentral:rRNA from 1 species
AUUGAACGCUGGCGGCAGGCUUAACACAUGCAAGUCGAGCGGGGUGAUGGUGCUUGCACUAUCACUUAGCGGCGGACGGGUGAGUAAUGCUUAGGAAUCUGCCUAUUAGUGGGGGACAACAUCUCGAAAGGGAUGCUAAUACCGCAUACGUCCUACGGGAGAAAGCAGGGGAUCACUUGUGACCUUGCGCUAAUAGAUGAGCCUAAGUCGGAUUAGCUAGUUGGUGGGGUAAAGGCCUACCAAGGCGACGAUCUGUAGCGGGUCUGAGAGGAUGAUGCACCACACUGGGACUGAGACACGGCCCAGACUCCUACGGGAGGCAGCAGUGGGGAAUAUUGGACAAUGGGGGGAACCCUGAUCCAGCCAUGCCGCGUGUGUGAAGAAGGCCUUAUGGUUGUAAAGCACUUUAAGCGAGGAGGAGGCUCUUUUGGUUAAUACCCAAGAUGAGUGGACGUUACUCGCAGAAUAAGCACCGGCUAACUCUGUGCCAGCAGCCGCCGUAA